UCGGGAAUAUUGCGCAAUGGAGGAAACUCUGACGCAGUGACGCCGCGUGCAGGAAGAAGGUUUUCGGAUUGUAAACUGCUUUAGACAGGGAAGAAAAAGACAGUACCUGUAGAAUAAGCUCCGGCUAACUACGUGUCAGCAGCCGCGGUAAUACGUAGGGAGCGAGCGUUAUCCGGAUUUAUUGGGUGUAAAGGGUGCGUAGACGGGAAGAUAAGUUAGUUGUGAAAUCCCUCGGCUCAACUGAGGAACUGCAACUAAAACUGUCAUUCUUGAGUACUGGAGAGGAAAGUGGAAUUCCUAGUGUAGCGGUGAAAUGCGUAGAUAUUAGGAGGAACACCAGUGGCGAAGGCGACUUUCUGGACAGAAACUGACGUUGAGGCACGAAAGUGUGGGGAGCAAACAGGAUUAGAUACCC
rnacentral:rRNA from 1 species